rnacentral:rRNA from 1 species
GCAGGUCAUAGUGAUCCGGUGGUUCUGAAUGGAAGGGCCAUCGCUCAACGGAUAAAAGGUACUCCGGGGAUAACAGGCUUAUCUCCUCCAAGAGUUCACAUCGACGAGGAGGUUUGGCACCUCGAUGUCGGCUCAUCGCAUCCUGGGGCUGGAGCAGGUCCCAAGGGUUAGGCUGUUCGCCUAUUAAAGCGGUACGCGAGCUGGGUUCAAAACGUCGUGAGACAGUUUGGUCCCUAUCUUCCGUGGGCGUAGGAGGCUUGAGAGGCUCUGACCUUAGUACGAGAGGACCGGGUUGGACACAUCUCUGGUGUACCAGUUGUCACGCCAGUGGCAUCGCUGGGUAGCUAUAUGUGGAUUGGAUAACCGCUGAAAGCAUCUAAGCGGGAAACCGACCUCAAGAAUUGGCCUCCCGGGAGCAAUCCCAUGAAGACCCCUUGUAGACUACGAGGUUGAUAGGCCGGGUGUGUAAGUGCAGCAAUGCAUUCAGCUAACCGGUACUAAUUGGUCGUUCGGCUUACUUUACCUUU